GUCUCUAACUCCACAAAUUUCAACAUGCAUACAAAUCAAGAAGGGGUGGGGGUGUUACAUGCAAAUUCUGCUUCAGUGGGUGUUGGAGCCUGAGAUUCUGGCUUUCUAACAAGCUCCCAGGUAAGUGCUGAUGCUGCUGCUUUGAGGGCCACACACCUUGAGGAGUAGGAAGAGUACUCAUACUGGAAGAGUAUUCAGCACGGACUGGAAUCCUGCAUACAUAUCUGAGCUCUGUGUUCUGGUUUCUCUUAUUGCCUGGAUCCAAGAGCAUCUCCUGGGUUCUUCCUGUUAGAAUACUGAAUGUCCAUGGAGAGUUUAACAUAAGGAAGAAGAGGCCUGUCUCCCAGCUGAAACUGGUGCAGCAGAUCAUGCAAAGUAAAACCUCAGCAGCUGUGAUGAAGUAGAGCAGAGGGCCUGGGUGUCUGUCAGCUCCAAGCGGAAGAUUUCCCCAGCUUUCUAGAUUUCUGACUUCAUAUCUGUGGGAUCCACACAAUGGGGAGGUACUGGCCUUGGAAUCCAUGGUUCCCCAGCUAUCAUUUUACUUUAGAAUUACAGUGUUCUCUGUUAGUGUCAAGGGAAUGAACCUGACGAGAAAAGACCAAACAUAGGACUGUUACAGGGAAGAAAAAUAUGAAAAGACCUAAAGAUGCACGUCCUCAUUAUAUGUAAGGAAUCUAUUUCCUAGAAUCCUAUAAAAAGCUCAAGUGAAUUUGCUUCAGUUAAUAAAUGUGAUUUAAUUAUAAUGAUAAUGCCACAGCAUAUGUUUUGUUUCCUCUUUUUGAAUUGCUCCCUGUUAAUUAUUGAGAGAAGAAAUUCAGUGUAACUUUUUUGUAAUCUGAUAAUGAUGAGGCUGUCUCAUGUGUUCCUUAUGUGCUUCACAAUGUAUGCGUAUGUGUGUGUAUAUAGUUAAGUUGAAGAAGACGGCCAUGUGUGGGCGCUACAGACAGAUGUAAGGCUAAAGAAAGGGCUCCAUGGUGUUAGAGCAAAACCUCAUGAUAAAAAGCUCUUUUUUAUACUUAGGACCUGAUUGUAUUGGGAGGAAAAACAAACAUUCAGUCUUGGAAUGACCUGAAAAACCUGUGGUAUGAACCUACUCCCCUUUCCUCACCCUGGGAUUAGAAUGAAGUUCUACAGUUCAGCUAAGGUGACCAAUUCACUUUGGUUCAUCCAUGUUCCAUGUCUCAGGAAGACAGGAAGAGUCUGGGCUACCCUAGGUUCAG
rnacentral:lncRNA from 10 species